UACGUAGGGGGCAAGCGUUGUCCGGAAUCAUUGGGCGUAAAGCGCGUGUAGGCGGUCCGGUAAGUCGGCUGUGAAAGUCCAGGGCUCAACCCUGGGAUGCCGGUCGAUACUGCCGGACUAGAGUUCGGAAGAGGCGAGUGGAAUUCCCAGUGUAGCGGUGAAAUGCGUAGAUAUUGGGAGGAACACCAGUGGCGAAGGCGGCUCACUGGACCGGAACUGACGCUGAGGCGCGAAAGCGUGGGGAGCAAACAGG
rnacentral:rRNA from 1 species